rnacentral:lncRNA from 1 species
AAAACUUGAAAAGGCACCUUCAUGCUUUCAAUCAAUCAUUUUUACUGCUUCUAAUGCAACUGGUCUCAGCUUUCCUAGAAGACCCAGAGGGAAACCAGGAAAGAUCAGAUGUGACAUUCUGGACUUGGCGUGUGAAAAGCAACUGGGGAAAAAAUAGAAUAAAGUGAAGUACAGAGAGACUUGUGGCUGCACUUGAUACGCUGAGAGGAGAAUAAAGAGGCACAAAAUCACGUGCAGCCACUGGAGCUGCUUCAGCAGAGGGGGAUUCUGGCGUGAAACACCCCACAAAAAUGUGUUGCAUUUGCUGUUGCCAUAGCACACGGAGGAAACCUGGAACACGGGACACCUUCCUGGAGCACAAACCUGCCAGAGCAGUGGACAGGCUGCCACCAAGGGAAAAAUUGCCUUUUUCCUCUGCAAAAAUCCAAUAAACACG